AAGGUGGGGAUGACGUCAAGUCAGCAUGGCCCUUAUACCUGGGCUACACACACGCUACAAUGGGUGGUACAAUUGGUUGCGACAGAGCGAUCUGGAGCUAAUCUAUAAAGCCUAUCCUCAGUUCGGAUUGCAGGCUGCAACUCGCCUGCAUGAAGCCGGAGUUGCUAGUAACCGCAGGUCAGCAUACUGCGGUGAAUACGUUCCGUCGGGCCUU
rnacentral:rRNA from 1 species